AGUGGGGAAUAUUGGGCAAUGGGCGCAAGCCUGACCCAGCAACGCCGCGUGAGGGAAGAAGGCUUUCGGGUUGUAAACCUCUGUCCUUGGUGACGAAAAAAAUGACGGUAGCCAAGGAGGAAGCCCCGGCUAACUACGUGCCAGCAGCCGCGGUAAUACGUAGGGGGCGAGCGUUGUCCGGAAUUACUGGGCGUAAAGGGUGCGUAGGUGGCCUUUUAAGUUGGAUGUGAAAUCCCCGGGCUUAACUUGGGUGGUGCAUCUAAUACUGGAGGGCUAGAGUGCAGGAGAGGGAAGCGGAAUUCCUAGUGUAGCGGUGAAAUGCGUAGAUAUUAGGAGGAACACCAGUGGCGAAGGCGGCUUUCUGGACUGUAACUGACACUGAGGCACGAAAGCGUGGGGAGCAAACAGGAUUAGAUACCCUGGUAGUCCACGCGGUAAACGAUGAAUACUAGGUGUAGGGGGUAUCAACUCCCCCUGUGCCGGAGCUAACGCAAUAAGUAUU
rnacentral:rRNA from 1 species